AGAGUUAAUCAUGGCUCAGGAUGAACGCUAGCUACAGGCUUAACACAUGCAAGUCGAGGGCAGCAUGGUCUUAGCUUGCUAAGAUUGAUGGCGACCGGCGCACGGGUGAGUAACGCGUAUCCAACCUUCCCUAUAGUAGGGGAUAGCCCGUAGAAAUGCGGAUUAAUACCCUAUGUUGUAUUUUGAGGACAUCUGACGAAUACCAAAGGUUCACCGCUAUAGGAUGGGGAUGCGUCUGAUUAGGUAGUCGGCGGGGUAACGGCCCACCGAGCCAACGAUCAGUAGGGGUUCUGAGAGGAAGGUCCCCCACAUUGGAACUGAGACACGGUCCAAACUCCUACGGGAGGCAGCAGUGAGGAAUAUUGGUCAAUGGGCGAGAGCCUGAACCAGCCAAGUAGCGUGCAGGAUGACGGCCCUAUGGGUUGUAAACUGCUUUUAUGCGGGGAUAAAGUGAGGGACGUGUCCCUUAUUGUAGGUACCGCAUGAAUAAGGACCGGCUAAUUCCGUGCCAGCAGCAGC
rnacentral:rRNA from 1 species